rnacentral:rRNA from 1 species
CUACGAGUCGCUGCAGUGGGGAAUAUUGCACAAUGGGGGGAACCCUGAUGCAGCAACGCCGCGUGGAGGAUGACGCAUUUCGGUGUGUAAACUCCUUUUAUAUGUCAAGAAAAUGACGGUAGCAUAUGAAUAAGCACCGGCUAACUCCGUGCCAGCAGCCGCGGUAAUACGGAGGGUGCAAGCGUUACUCGGAAUCACUGGGCGUAAAGGACGCGUAGGCGGGUUGGAAAGUCAGGUGUGAAUUCCUACAGCUUAACUGUAGAACUGCACUUGAAACUUCUAAUCUAGAGUAUGGGAGGGGGAGAUGGAAUUAGUGGGGUAGGGGUAAAAUCCGUAGAUAUCACUAGGAAUACCUAAAGCGAAGGCGAUCUCCUGGAACAUUACUGACGCUAAGGCGUGAAAGCGUGGGGAGCAAACAGGAUUAGAUACCCCGGUAGUC